CAAUAGCGUAUAUUUAAGUUGCUGCAGUUAAAAAGCUCGUAGUUGGAUUUCGGGUGGGAAUGGCCGGUCCGCCGUUUCGGUGUGCACUUGCUACGCCCACCUUGCUGCCGGGGACGUGCUCUUGAGUUCACGCUCGGGACACGGAGUCGGCGAGGUUACUUUGAGUAAAUUAGAGUGUUCAAAGCAGGCCUACGCUCUGAAUACAUUAGCAUGGAAUAACACGAUAGGACUCUGGCCUAUCUUGUUGGUCUGUAGGACCGGAGUAAUGAUUAAGAGAGACAGUCGGGGGCAUUCGUAUUUCAUUGUCAGAGGUGAAAUUCUUGGAUUUAUGAAAGACGAACUUCUGCGAAAGCAUUUGCCAAGGAUGUUUUCAUUGA
rnacentral:rRNA from 1 species